GCACCAAUAGCUCAGUUGGGAGAGCGUACGACUGAAGUUUACUUCAGCCCAAAAAUCGUAAGGCCCUGCGUUCAAUCCGCAGUUGGUGCA
rnacentral:tRNA from 1 species